AUACGUAGGGGGCGAGCGUUGUCCGGAAUGAUUGGGCGUAAAGGGCGCGUAGGCGGCCUGUUAAGUCUGGAGUGAAAGUCCUGUUUUCAAGAUGGGAAUUGCUUUGGAUACUGAUGGGCUUGAGUGCAGGAGAGGUUAUCGGAAUUCCCGGUGUAGCGGUGAAAUGCGUAGAGAUCGGGAGGAACACCAGUGGCGAAGGCGGGUAACUGGACUGCAGCUGACGCUGAUGCGCGAAAGUGUGGGGAGCAAACAGGAUUAGAUACCCUGGUAGUCCACGCUGUAAACGAUGAAUGCUAGGUGUAAGAGGUAUCGACCCCUUUUGUGCCGGAGUUAACACAAUAAGCAUUCCGCCUGGGGAGUACGGCCGCAAGGUUGAAACUCAAAGGAAUUGACGGGG
rnacentral:rRNA from 1 species